GCGGGAGUGGCGGAAAGGUAGACGCGUACGUUUGAGGGGCGUAUGGGGCAACCCAUGAGAGUUCAAUUCUCUUCUCCCGCACCA
rnacentral:tRNA from 1 species